rnacentral:lncRNA from 1 species
GUUGGAGUGUGUAGAUGGAGCCAUGCUUGAGCCGACUUUCAUAUCACUCGAGACGGUUUUAAGCAAUGAAACCUUGUGCCACAGUACCUUAUAGAUAAGAUCAAAGUACUAAGUACUAUUUUCGUCAAUAUAUAGAAGAAGCAUGCUUAUUAUAUGGUGAACAUACAAUAAUAAGCGAUGAAUAUUGGAUUGAUUUAUAUCAGAAACCUAAACAAUAUGUCUCCUUUGGCAUGGUUGCAAGCUUCCCAGGAAUGAAGAAACAUCAUCUUCGAAGUGGAUGGUCCUGUGACAGCCACUUGACUGAAGAAGAGUGCAGGAGCAUUGGCAGUGGUGUCUUACUGUCGAGUAGCCAUGGUAUUAUUAGGAAUGGGUCAAUGAAAUUUUGCGACUGAGAAGGAGAUUGAUGGGGAUAUAAAUAUUCUGAUGAGGGGAACACAGAGAGUUGGACGUUUCUAAUGAGUGGGUAAUGAUGGUUACUUGAAGAGCCAUCGGAAUCGUUGGUUAGGAGGGAUGCACGAAGCUUCGUCUUGAAGGGUGAUUAAGGAGCAUUGAAGGUUGGGCUCGGUUUUUUCAUUGAUGAGGAUACAUGCGUUAUUCCGGAGGAGGGAGAUAGACAAUCGAUUUCGAGAGCUUGAUGUCGGAGAAAGCGCCUAGGGUUCGCGAGAAAGAAGCUGCAAGAUGACUACUGGACCUCAAGAAAAAUAAUAAGAAUGAGUUUAAACCUUUGUUUGCUCCAAGAUGAAUGAUGGGCCGUGAUGACAUGACAAAAUGAUUGGUGAAAUUUUUUUUGGCCUAUGUGGCACCCCUCUUUAGCUUUCAAAUUAGCUCCUUUUAUAUAGUAGAGAUAAGUUUUUGGGACUGAAUUUUUAACCAAAAAAAACACUAAAU